CCUGCGCAAGUCGAUCCUACCCCUGUCUCAUUUCCUCUCGUCUUCCUCCCGAUCCCCUUCUCUCGGCUGGAUUCCCCUCCGUCCAUCCCCGGCGGCGCGCCCGCUGCUCCUACUCCUGCCAGGCGCCGGGACACGCGCGAAGGGGACUCCCCUUCUCCCUCCCCCCUGCUGCCCUCAGAUCAGCGCCGCCGCGGAAGCUAUGGCCGCCGCCGUCUUCCGGCCUCCUCCCCGGGAGGCGAGGAGGUGGAGGAGAAUACCGCACGGAAUACCAGCGAGGCGGCGAUAUCCUCUCCCUCUGCUCUCCUGCCAGGCUGCCACGGCUCAUCGCGGUUGCUGCUGUACCCAGGUCAUCUGCCGCCGCACGCACUCGCGGUUUGAUGACUGAUUGAGGGCCGAGGCAGCUCCAUCCUCUGGUUCUUCCUCGCGGUGCUCUGACGGCAAUCGGCCAAGAGCCCAAGACACGCACGUACAGCCUCACCGGAGAGAUGGCGAAGACGACGCCAUCAUCAAAACUGGGAGUAGCAGCAGGAGGCGCGACCCUUGCUACAAGGAGAACAGCAGCUGAAGACCAUCAGGAAGAAGAUUGCCAUGUGCCACGACAUAGCCGUGCUGAGCAGGCUAGGGAGACAGCGGAUGGAGCCAAGGGUAGCGCAGAGAAAGGACGAGAGGGGGUCGGGAACACUUUGUUUUCCCGCAUGAACGUAGAUGGAAAAGACACACCUAAUGGACGAAGGAAAUCAAAGGGUAUGGUUGCCGAGAGGAGGAAAGCAAGCGGAGUAUAUUUGCUUCUGUUGUGAACUUGUGAUAUCGUGCUCGGCAUAUACAACGGAAUAGAACAACACUUCGACCAACGUCUCUAUACGUAUCACUUUGUUGUUCCAUAUCAAUGGGCUACCGGUGGCUUACUAGUAAAUGGCCAAUGUAGCUUUUCAUUUGCCAGAUACUUGUAAACUAUUGAUCCAGUUAUGCAAUCUGUUAUCCAGCAAGAAAAAAGUGUUAGCCAAGUGA